GAACGAGUUGGAAAGCUCAGCCGGAGACUGUGAUAGCCAGGUAUGCGAAAACGACGCUGACCUUAUUCUGUAUUCUCGAGUAGGUCGGGGCACGAGAAACCCUGAUUGAAUCCGGCUGGACCACCAGCCAAGGCUAAAUAUAGUAUAUGAUCGAUAGUGAACUAGUACGGUGACGGAAAGGUGAAAAGAACCCCGGGAGGGGAGUGAAAUAGAACCUGAAAUUUUGUGCCUACAAGGAGUCGGAGCCCAGCACCUUUGAAAUCGAGUGGUACAAUGUAGACAGAUGUUCUACGUGUACGUUUUGCAAAGUGAUCGGGAAUCAGAUCAAAUUUACUUCGGUCAGACCAGUGACUUAAGACGACGUCUCUCGGAGCAUAAUUCUGGCAAGGAUAUUUAUACCAAGAUAUAUGCGCCAUGGAAGGUUGUCUAUUAUGAAGCCUAUUCAUCACGUAAGCUAGCAAUGGCUCGUGAGAGGCAGUUGAAAGCUUAUGGACAAGCUAGGACUGCUCUGAAGAAGAGACUAAAUUUGAUCUGAUACUCGAUUUCAAAGGUGCUGGGUGACGGCGUGCUUUUUGUAGAACGAUCCAGCGAGUUAAUUUUUACGGCGAGGUUAAGUCAGAUGAUGAAGCCAUAGUGAAAGCGAGCAUUAACAGUGCGAUUUAGUCGUAAGGAUUAGACCCGAAACCAGGUGACCUAACCAUGAGCAGGUUGAAGCAACCUUAAUCGGUUGUGGAGGACCGAACCAGUGUAUAUUGCAAAAUGCUUGGAUGACUUGUGGUUAGCGGUGAAAUGCCAAUCGAACUUGGAGAUAGCUGGUUCUCCGCGAAAUAGUUAUAGGACUAGCGUCGUGUGAUAGCUUACGGGGGUAGAGCUCUGUCAAGAGAUAGGGGGAGCAAUCCUACCUACUCUUAAUAAACUACGAAUACCGUAUGUCUGUAUCACGGCAGUUAGAACGUCGGUGCUAAGAUCGGCGCUCAAAAGGGAAACAGCCCAGACCAUCAUCUAAGGUCCCCAAAUUUACGCUAAGUGGGAAACAAGGUGGAAUUUCUUAAACAGCUAGGAUGUUGGCUUAGAAGCAGCCAUUCAUUUAAAGAGUGCGUAACAGCUCACUAGUCAAGAGAUUCUGCGUGGAAGAUAUAACGGGGCUAAGCGUAAUACCGAAGAUAUGGAUUGCAAUUUAUUGCAGUGGUAGCGGAGCGUUCCUAUCGGCAGUGAAGCCGGACUGUUAAGUACCGGUGGAGCGUUAGGAAGUGAGAAUGCUGGAACGAGUAACCAUAAGACAGGUGAGAAUCCUGUCGGCCGAAAGAGCGAGGUUUCCUGGGCUAUGGUAAUCAUCCCAGGGUUAGUCGGGCCUAAGCCGAGGCGUUUAGCGUAGGCGAUGGACAUCAGGUUAAUAUUCCUGAACUAGUCAAACUUUGUAUGCAGUUAGCGAUGAGAUAGGUGGAGCGGAUUCAUGGUUUAUCCGUUCAAGUGAUAGAGGAAUCUUGAUCGAGCAAAAGUGAACCUACGGGUUUACGAUUCCGCUGAAGGCAUUGACCAGAAAAGCUGGCAUACGCAUGGGUUUGGCUACCCGUACCGCAAACCGACACAGGUGCUCGAGUCGAGGAGACUAAGGCUUACGAGAGAAUGAUUGCUAAGGAACUCGGCAAUACAGCGACCGUAACUUCGGAAUAAGGUCUGCCUACAUUUGUAGGCCGCAGCUAAAGAGCCCACGGAACUGUUUAUCAAAAACUCAGGUCUCUGCUAACACGAAAGUGGAUGUAUAGGGGCUGAAACCUGCCCGGUGCCGGAAGGUUAAGGGGAUUGCUUCACGGUGAGAACUGAAGCCCCGGUGAACGGCGGCGGUAACUAUAACCGUCCUAAGGUAGCGAAAUUCCUUGUCAGGU
rnacentral:rRNA from 1 species